rnacentral:lncRNA from 10 species
AUGACAAACACAAAGGGAAAGAGGAGAGGCACCCAAUAUAUGUUCUCUAGGCCUUUUAGAAAACAUGGAGUUGUUCUUUGGCCACGUAUAUGCGAAUCUAUAAGAAAGGUGAUAUUGUAGACAUCAAGGGAAUGGGUACUGUUCAAAAAGGAAUGCCCCACAAGUGUUACCAUGGCAAAACUGGAAGAGUCUACAAUGUUACCCAGCAUGCUGUUGGCAUUGUUGUAAACAAACAAAUUAAGGGCAAGAUUCUUGCCAAGAGAAUUAAUGUACGUAUUGAGUAUAUUAAGCACUCUAAGAGCUGAGAUAGCUUCCUGAAACGCAUGAAGGAAAAUGAUCAGAAAAAGAAAGAAGCCAAAGAGAAAGGUACCUGGGUUCAACUAAAGCACCAGCCUGCUCCACCCAGAGAAGCACACUUUGUGAGAACCAAUGGGAAGGAGCCUGAGCUGCUGGAAUCUAUUCCCUAGGAAUUCAUGG